rnacentral:rRNA from 1 species
UACGUAGGGUGCGAGCGUUGUCCGGAAUUAUUGGGCGUAAAGAGCUUGUAGGCGGUUUGUCGCGUCUGCUGUGAAAAUCCGGGGCUCAACCCCGGACUUGCAGUGGGUACGGGCAGACUAGAGUGUGGUAGGGGAGACUGGAAUUCCUGGUGUAGCGGUGAAAUGCGCAGAUAUCAGGAGGAACACCGAUGGCGAAGGCAGGUCUCUGGGCCACUACUGACGCUGAGGUGCGAAAGCGUGGGUAGCAAACAGGAUUAGAUACCCU